CUGUAAGGUGGACUAAUACAACAUGGUUCUAGGAUAACAAUUUAACAUGCAUCAUGAUAAUUACAAGAAGAAGAUGCAUGAUACUAACCUGCACCGAUUGGAGACAUGGUGGCUUGAGUUCACAGGUUGUCUUCUACUUCCAGUACUUCAAAAUGUCUCUCUACCGUGAAUAGGGUUUGGCGUGAUUGAGAGUAUAAGCGUAUGGAAGCAGGGACUUAACCAUAAUAUUUAUAUCAUUAGGGUUUAAUCACAACCAACCUAUUAUUGGUUGUGAAAGUCAAACCCUAUCACUUAAGUGUUUAAGUCCCACCAUGAUACUGUAUCUUUGUAGUGAAAUCCAUCAGAUUUCUUUUAGGUCAAUUGCAAAGGCUAAGACUCCAUAAUCCUUAUUUCAUUUGGACUAUCAGAUUACUUAAUUUGUUAACAACUCAAUAAACAAGUGGUCUACAACAUAAGUAAUCCAAUACAUCAUUCAUUGUCAUUCACAACCUUACAUUCUCCCACUUGAAUGUCAACGAUUUAUCCUAACAAAUAAGAACUCAUGGUGAUCACUGAGUCUUCAUAAGUAUGCAACAACCUUUCCUAGCAACCUGUCACUUUGAAUCGAAUGCAGAACCAAAGAAAACAAAGAACAACUUGGUAUGUUCCUUGCACUCCAAGAUCACAUACACAUUCAACUUAAAGCACUUUGUUACUAACAAAGUCAUGGUGUCAAGAGCUAAUAGUUAAAACAUUAGCUCACAAUAGUCGAACUGAAAAUAUGAAAAUAUAUUUCAGUACAAAAGUAGUUCACAAAGAACUCAACAACGUUGGUAACAACAUCCAACUUUUCUGUCAAUUUAGAAUAUGAUAAGAGAACAAGUAAAAUACGACAUACUAUUUACAAAAUCAGGAUCUCUUAUUAAAACUUAUAAACAAAACUUAAACAAAAAACUCUUAAAAUAUCAGCCACUAACACUUCAAAAUUUUUUAACACAAAAGGUAAUCUCUUACUCCCACUGAUUAAAAGAGACAAAAUUAUAUAAAUUAUUAUUACUCCCACUGAUUAAGAGAGUAAAAAAAAACUUUGUAACGGUCUGCAGAAUGAAACAGAUACCUUUCAAAUACUCCCAUUAGCAAAACAUUAGUCAUGAGAUCUAAAACAUAAAAUUUGUGAGCUCAACAUCUUUAUUCUAGAUAUCUGUAGGGAAGUGACUCUUGUGACUGAAAAACUAUACAAAUCAUUUGAUCAGUUUUGUUCAUCUAACAUUUGACAGAAAUAGAAAACUUUAACUAAAUGUUUUCUUAUCGCAUCAAAAACAUAUAAUUCCAGAAUCAUCUUUGGACAGAAACUAAUUAUAUUAGGUUUGCAUAGCUAAAACAUAAAAUACAAGGGUAAACUUAUAUAGCUUCAACACUUUUGAGCAGAUGAAGUAUAUACAAUCUUGUCAAUUCCAUGUUUCACUAUACAUUGAUUUAUAGUUGUACUGAAUAAGAAAACACUUUUGAGCAGAUUAAUUAUUCCUUAAUAACAUAUAAAUCACAAGUCCAAUUUCUUGAACAACAAACAAGAAUUAAUAAGCAAAACACUUUUGAGCAGAAUAUACUCAUUAACCCUUCUUGAAUUUCUUGCAAGAUUAAUUGCAUAUAUAAAAUAUAAACAAGUAUGAUAAUGUACGUUUUAUCUACCAAAACUAUGACCAUUAAAAGCAUGCAAAAUUGAUGAGUGUGAAGCCCAUAAUACAUUAUUUCUCCCACUUGGGCAAAUACUCAAAAUUGCAAGAUUAAACACUAGAGAAAGUGAUUUUUCAUAUAACAAAAUAUAGGCUAGUUGAAUCAAUAAAGAUCAAAUACAUACAUAUAUAUAUAUAUAUUUUUUUAAUAGGUUCGAAUUAAAAGUUCCAUAACUUAUGCAAUUACUACAAAUUUUAUUUUAUUUUAGUGUAAGAGAGAAGACUCACAUAUGUGUUAAGGAUUAGGUCAUAAAUUAAAAUGAAACCUAAUAAGAGAAUCCAAACUCAAAAUUUAUGUUUUAAUUCUAAAACAAAUUCGAUUAAAAUAAACACUGAGAUAUCUCAAUAACAUAAACUUUUCAACAAUAAUUUUAAUCCAAUUUAGAACUCAGAGAAAAUUAAGACAAAAGAUUGGUAAAUUUACCUACUCAUUCUCGAUUCUGCAAGUUUCAUCAUGGAAGUAGUCGAGUUGUGGAGGAUCAAACCAAACGCAAAUUGCAUGAUUGUUACACCUUUGGGUAGAAACUAAUCAUGCAAAGAAAAUACCUGCAUAGCUAGCCAAAACAUAAAAUACACAAAAUACAUAUAGCUUCAACAGCUUUGGCCAGAUGAAAAUAUGUUAGAAGUAUUUUAUGUUGCUAUAAUAAUUUAUAGUUGGUAAAUGAUUUCCUGAAAUUCCCUUUGGGACAAAAGUAUUCACCAUAUAAAUUAGAAUGAGGACUGCUAAACCCACCCCGUUGUCUUAUUUCACCACCCACAUUAUAUUUACACCCACUAUAAAAAGUUAAAAAAUUAAAAUGUUAUUUUCCCACCCACUAUUAUUCCUAAAAUAACCCUAUAUAUAAUUAGAGAUAAAUUUCUUUUAAAAAAAAAAGAAAAUAAACAAACCUUCUAAAAAUAGGAAAAAAAGAAAAGAAAAAAAACCAUGUUUCCUUUCCAAAUUCCAAUUUAAGUGUCCUUUUCGAGAUGCAUACCAAUUUGAGUGUCCUUUCCAAAUUUUCCCUAACCUAAUUAAAACAAUUCCAACGAAUUCUUGGAAUUCUCAUAGGAAAACAUGAAACAAAUUGUACCCUAACCUAAUGCAAAUUCAAAUAAAAAGUCACAAAGCUAUGCUUCAAUUAUUCAUGUCGACAAAUCAAGAUGGUCCACAUAAAAUUAUCUUUUACCUGUUCGACGGAAACAUAGUCAUCUACUUGUUCCAUAGAAAUGUCAUCUUCUAAGUUUAUUCUUUUUGCUUUCUCUGAAUGAAAGGGGAUGAAAAGGAUGAGUUAGGGUUUAUGGGAGACAAAUUUUCUAAACUUUUCUUUUCUUUUCUUUUUUUAUAAAAAAAAAAUUAAUGCAAAAAGGAGUAAGUAAGGUCCCUAUUAGUCAUUUUACAAAUGGAUAAAUUUGUAACUAAAAAAUUCAUAAAAAGGUGGGUGGGGAAAUAAGACAUCGGGGUGGGAAUAUCACCACUCAUUAGAAUUUUGAUUUGUCAAAAUAAUCCUUUAGAACAGUAUUAAAUAACCGUUUUGUUGGAUAUUCAAUGAUUCUCAAAAGAUUAAAUUAGACACAAAAGUAUGUCGUUAUUGAACAAUAGAGUUCUCGAAAGAGGAAACAUGGUUAUUCAGCUAUUCGAUAGGGACCAAAAUGAUCAAUUAGUAAACUGAUACCACUUUCCAAUUUUUGUCUCAAAAGACAAUAAUCAUCAUAAUCAAAAUUGAUGACCAAACAAAAUAAACCAAUUCACUUUUCAACCAAAAUUUAAUCAGUGUUUACUAAUAAAAGUCAUUAGAAUUGAGAAUUUGCAUUGAAAACCAGGACAUAUUAGAGCAAAUAAACAUGUCAAACAAUUGGUACUAUUGGAUAUGCACAAAUUAGUGAAAACAAUAUUGCAUAACAUAACUAGUUUUUGAAGUACCAAAAAUUCAACAAUGCCACUUUAGUUUGCAAAUUCACUAAAAAACUCAAUUCUCUUUAGAUUGUCAUGAAAAGUUUUAGGUAUGAACUAGACAUGUAUGACUACUGUUUUGGAAAAUUUCAUGAUUUUUUUUUUUUUAAAUAUUAUAAGCGAGCCAAAAAUGAAUUCGAAAAGAGAGGUGCUGCAGAAACUACAGAAAAUCUGCAGUACAUACCUAAGAUUAAAAUUCACCAAAUAUUCAUUGUUCAUCCGAUAUGCAUGAAAAUUUUCAGAAAAUAAGUAAACAUACAAAUCUGUUAAUUCCUAAUAUUUCAUAAUUUUUUUUUUUUACACUUUACAAGUGUACUAAAAGAAAAUACGAAAUGGGAUGUGCUGCAGAGAUGGCAAAAAUUCUGCAGUACAUACCGGAGACUAAAUAAUUCACCAAAAAAUUCAAUUUUUCUCCAAUGUGCAUGAAAGUUUCCAGAAAUGAAGUAGACAUAUAAAUUUACUGUCUCCCAAAAUUCCAUAAUUUGUUCGAUUCUACAAGUGGGCUAAAAAUAAAAUCGAAUGGAAUGUGCUGCAGAAGAUGCAUAAAUUCUGCAGUACAUUCCUGAGAUUAAAACUUCACCAAUAAAUCAUUUUCAGACCACUGAGAAAAUUUCCCUAAAUCACAAUAAAUCAUUUUCCACUGCUGCUAGAAAAUUUCCAGAAAAUUUCCAGAUUUAAAAAAAUAAACAUCUUAAUAUAUAAUCAUAUCAUAAAAUUUCAUGAAUUUAGGAGUUGCAGAAGUACAUCAAAAUAUUAUCACAAACAGACUUUGCUGCUGAAGUUUACAGAAUUCCAGCAGCGUGGUAUCACCUUUAACAGUUUACUAUAAAUUUAUUUGAUGUCCCAAAACGUGAAAAGUGCAUUAUAAUCUAAUUCUGAAUUCUAAGAAACUACAAUUACAAUUUACAUAAGGUUUGGAGUUACGAAAGUCUCUAAAAAAAAAUAGGAUGUUUAUCAAGCCCAGGUUAGACAUGAUGGUUUUCUUUUGACAUGUGAUGAGUUUCUUGCCUUUUCAACAUGUCCUAUUUCUGACUUAUAAAUACUUUUAUUGAUUUCUCACUCAAAUAUAACAAAAUUCAUUAAACUUAAGUUGAAUCCACUAAACCACAAGCAAGACGUUAUACCAUAAUCAACAUAGUAGUUCACAGUGUUGACGUGAAUCAUAACAUGUCAUAAGUAUUCAUAAUUUGUCAUAGGUAAUCAGUCAUACCAAACAUGUACUUAUAGCAAACAAGAGAAUGCAAAAGACUUACUUGCAAACGACGUCGUUGAAGAAAUUCUCCAAAAUCUCAAUUGUGUGUAUUUGAGAAAUUUCUCAAAAAAAAAAAACAAAGUCUCAGCUAACGCAAUUUUAUGUUUGAAGAUGAAGGUCACAAAGGACAAACUUUGCAAACAUGAACUGAAAAUAAAAAAAAUUCUGAUUUCUGAAGAGGGGUGUUUACAGGCAUAAUGAUAGAGGGAAGCGUAAACAUCAACUUAAUUAACAUGUAUGGGAAAGUCAGUUUGCAAAACCAAUGUGAAAAACAUAGCAGGCAUUUAUAUUCAAAUUAGUUCAACCAAUCAACUAAUACGCCUAAGUGGCCAUACCAUUAUUCUUGUACUCCAUUACUCAAAAAUUAUGCAGCAAAUUGUGAACAGGAUAGAUAUAUAGCUCAAGCUCCUCAGGAUCACAAUGGCUCACCCAAAUUAUAUGGUUUGAAAUUAAAAUACGAAAGGCCCAUUGUAAAAGGUUCCUUCAACCAGAUUUAUUCAAUCAUGCAGUCUUAAGACAAUAUAUAUAGUCAAAAUGCAAUAAGCUUAAAGUCAUGCGGCAAUCCUUGUUUGCAACAGAGUUAAUGUAUUUAUGGAAAAUGAGCAGAAGCAAGAAGACAAACCCCAAUUUAUCUCCUAGUGGGGAGUAAUUCUCAACUGGGUUUUGAUGAUGUGCGGGGAAGCAAAACCCGAAUAACGGCUCGAUCAAUAAUAACUGGAUGGUGGCUCACUUAGAAAUUUGAAAUUAGCUAUCACAGUCGAGCUCGCGGAAGAGAACACAGUGAAGAAAACAUGUCAGGGAGAAAAUUCUUUAUGCCUUCUCCAGAUAUGAAUAAAAAACCAGUUAUAAAUUUAUCAAAUCAUAAUUGACUAAUAAAACAUUUUGUUUCAAUUGCUUCACUGAAAGUGUAAUUUUCAACCAAAAGGGACCACAAAUCCAUGACGUUAUUCUGGAUUGGUGUUCCACUCAAUAUCAAACGAUGCUGGGAUUUCAAUUGAACUCCUGCAGAUUGUAUUAUCUACGCCCUGCACCGUAUAUAAAGUUUCUGCACCAAACUUAUUAGCCAUAAUAUAUGCUUCUUUAUGAUGAAUAACAUCGCAGCACACGGUCAUCAUACAUACAACUAUAUUAAGUCAUGAAAGAAUAAGAACAGCGGAAGCAAAAAAGGAUGAUUUGAAUUAUCCAUAACGAUGUAGUUUUUUGAAUUGGAUUCUAGUCAUGUUGUUUGGCUCUGAUACCACAUGUAAGGUGGACUAAUACAACAUGGUUCUAGGAUAACAAUUUAACAUGCAUCAUGAUAAUUACAAGAAGAAGAUGCAUGAUACUAACCUGCACCGAUUGGAGACAUGGUGGCUUGAGUUCACAGGUUGUCUUCUACUUCCAGUACUUCAAAAUGUCUCUCUACCGUGAAUAGGGUUUGGCGUGAUUGAGAGUAUAAGCGUAUGGAAGCAGGGACUUAACCAUAAUAUUUAUAUCAUUAGGGUUAAUCACAACCAACCUAUUAUUGGUUGUGAAAGUCAAACCCUAUCACUUAAGUGUUUAAGUCCCACCAUGAUACUGUAUCUUUGUAGUGAAAUCCAUCAGAUUUCUUUUAGGUCAAUUGCAAAGGCUAAGACUCCAUAAUCCUUAUUUCAUUUGGACUAUCAGAUUACUUAAUUUGUUAACAACUCAAUAAACAAGUGGUCUACAACAUAAGUAAUCCAAUACAUCAUUCAUUGUCAUUCACAACCUUACACCGUCACAUUGAUUUGAGACGAGUUUCUCAG
rnacentral:lncRNA from 1 species